AUGUACAUACCAUAUAAGAGGGUCAGUCAGCAAGGAUGGUUUCUAAAUUUUGUGUCCCCAGACAGCCAUCAGGCAGCCAGCAGAAAAAUGCAUUUUGAAGCCAUGGAGUCUCCAGUUUUUAUCUCUGACAUUAUGUUGAAAUUCGACAGAUGGAAGCCCAGCAGCAGACAUGCGGAUUGGAUGCCAAAUGAGGCACAUAUACAUAGCAGAGUGGUGCCCUACCCAGACAUUUUUGGGAUGAUGUGCAUAUUUCCAAGCUCACAAUGCACAUAUGUCAUCACAUCCACUUGCCAAUUCAGCCCAGGGAAGGUACCCGAAUCCUUUCUGCCUCAAGUUUAUCAGAUAUUUUCUGAACUCACGGCCUUCUGUCCAACACGUUCGACAGCUCCUGUGAUUAUGCUUCCUAAUUAAUUGCAAGAAAUCAUCAUCUACUCACUUAGGACAAAACAAAACUUGAGACUCAACCUUGACUUUUCACUUUUACUCAACUCUUCUGUGCAACCAUUUCUGAGUAUUCUUAAUGCUAUUUCCUAAAGAUUAUAGAUCAGCCAUCCUGUUUCCAAAGGAUGCAGUAGUAUCCCUUAGCUUGUAAAUGAGUGACCAUGAAUAGGACUAUAAAACCUAGACUUUUGGAAAUUUACCAAUGCCACUUUAUUUUAUCAGAGCUAGUAAGGGUACAUUUUUCACAAAGCAUAAAUAUUACCACUUUUAAUCAUCCUGAAUAAAUUAAUUAUGAAACAGUUCUCA
rnacentral:lncRNA from 1 species